rnacentral:lncRNA from 1 species
ACUAGGCGUUGUACAAGAUUCCAGCUACACAGUUCCUAUUGUAGCUGGACAAAUUUAUUUUUCGAUAUGCUAUCUUCUUUGAUCGCCAUUGUCGUAAUACGUGAACUCUUGCUUGAGAAUGCUACAGAUACCUGACUGUAGAAAGAAGAAUAGAAAUUGUAACAACAAAAUCCUAAUUCUAAUAGAAUACUAAUUAAAUUCUAAUUAAAUCAUGAUAAUGUUAAGCAAGCUUCAAUCAAAUUCAAAAGAACCUCAAGAAACUUCAAACAAAUAAAAAGAAUUCUUAAAGAAAUAUUAGAAAGAUCACAAAUAUCACUCAAAUACAUCUCAAUUCAAUCUUAAUUUAAUUCUAGUUAAAAUCCUAUUGAACUUCAUUCAAACUUUAGGCCAAAACUAAUUGAAUCAUAAAUCCUAAUAAAAUCCUAAAUCCUAAAUCAAACCCCUAAACAAACCUUAAAUCAAACCCCAAUCAAAUCCUAAACCAAAUCCUAAUCAAAUCCUAAACCAAAUCCUAAUCAAAUCCUAAACCAAAUUCUAAAUCCUAAAUCAAAUCCUAACCAAAUCCUAAUCCAAAUCCUAAAUCCUAAACCAAUCCUUAAUCCAAAUCCUAAAUAAAAUCCUAAUCAAACCUUAAACCAAACCUCAAUCAAAUCCUAAACCAAACCCUAACUAAAUCCUAAAUCAAACCCUAAUACAAAUCCAAAACCCUAAAUCAAAUCCUAACCAAAUCCUAAACCCUAAAUCAAAUCCUAACCAAAUCCUAAAUCCUAAAUCAAAUUCUAAUCCAAAUUCUAAAUUCUAAACUAAACUAUAACCAAAUCCUAAACCAAACCCUAGUAAUUCCUACAACAGAUUUAAACUUCAAUAACUAAUGAAUAAACUGUCGAUCUUAACUCAAAUUUUGCACAAUUCUAAAAAAAUAAGUGAAAAAUAAGCACAAAAAAAUUGAAAAGGAUCAAAAUUACCAAAUUGAUGAUAACUUCAAAAAUGUGCUUGGGUAUUGACUGGCCUCCUUCUCCAAUCUUGAUGCCAAUCUUCCAGAGCCAAUAUCUCUCUUUUCCACCGUUUGAUUGAUUUCAAAAUUCUCAUACACAUAAAAAAAAAAUUC